GAUGAACGCUGGCGGCGUGCCUAAUACAUGCAAGUCGAGCGCACAAAGGGGGCGUUUCCCUUUCUGACGUGUGGGGCGGGCGGGUGAGUCACACGUGUAUACCGUAUCGUAGAGGCUGAGAUCAAUUCGGGACACCAGAUAUAACAUCGGAAAAGAUGUUGAAACGCGAGGUUCAAUAGAGAAAGACGAUUUUGCUGUCACUAGUUGGUCGUUCCUCGUAGAAUUUGCUAGUUGGUACGAUAACGGCUUACCAAGGCAACGAUGCGUAGACGACCUGAGAGGUUGAUCGGCCACACUGGAACUGAGACACGGUCCAGACUCCUACGGGAGGCAGCAGUAGGGAAUCUUGGGCAAUGGGCGAAAGCCUGACGGAGCAAGGCCGCGUGAGUGAUGAAGGUUUUCGGAUGUUAAAACUCUGUUAGUGGGGAGGAAGAGAUGUGUAAUUAACUAUUCACGUUUUGACGGUACCUAAUCAGAAAGCCACGGCUAACUACGUG
rnacentral:rRNA from 1 species